GAAAUGCGAUAAGUAAUGUGAAUUGCACAAUUCAGUGAAUCAUCGAAUCUUUGAACGCACAUUGCGCCCGCCAGUAUUCUGGCGGGCAUGCCUGUUCGAGCGUCAUUACAACCCUCAGGCCCCCGGGCCUGGCGUUGGGGAUCGGCGGAAGCCCCCUGCGGGCACAACGCCGUCCCCCAAAUACAGUGGCGGUCCCGCCGCAGCUUCCAUUGCGUAGUAGCUAACACCUCGCAACUGGAGAGCGGCGCGGCCACGCCGUAAAACACCCAACUUCUGAAUGUUGACCUCGAAUCAGGUAGGAAUACCCGCUGAACUUAAGC
rnacentral:misc_RNA from 1 species